rnacentral:rRNA from 1 species
UCGAUGGCUUUACUGUCUCUUACUUCCAAUCUASGUGAMAUUGACCUUCCCGUGAAGAGGCGGGAAUAUGACAAUAAGACGAGAAGACCCUAUGGAGCUUUAAUUAACCGACCCAAAGAGAUCUUGAUAAUCAACCGACAGGGAUAACAUACCUCUACCAUGGGCCGACAAUUUAGGUUGGGGUGACCUCGGAGAAUAAAACAACCUCCGAGUGAUUUAAAUCUAGACUAACUAGUCGAAAGUACUACAUCACUUAUUGAUCCAAAAACUUGAUCAACGGAACAAGUUACCCUAGGGAUAACAGCGCAAUYCURUUUUAGAGUCCAUAUCGACAAUAGGAU